UACGUAGGGUGCGAGCGUUGUCCGGAAUUAUUGGGCGUAAAGAGCUUGUAGGCGGUUUGUCGCGUCUGCCGUGAAAGCCCAGGGCUUAACCCUGGGUCUGCGGUGGGUACGGGCAGACUAGAGUGUGGUAGGGGAGACUGGAAUUCCUGGUGUAGCGGUGAAAUGCGCAGAUAUCAGGAGGAACACCGAUGGCGAAGGCAGGUCUCUGGGCCGAUACUGACGCUGAGAAGCGAAAGCGUGGGGAGCAAACAGG
rnacentral:rRNA from 1 species